GACGAAGGUGGCGAGCGUUGUUCGGAAUCACUGGGCAUAAGGCGCACGUAGGCGGCGUGUCAAGUCAGGCGUGAAAGCCCCGGGCUCAACCUGGGAACCGCGCUUGAGACUGGCAUGCUCGAGUUCGGGAGAGGAUGGUGGAAUUCCCAGUGUAGAGGUGAAAUUCGUAGAUAUUGGGAAGAACACCGAUGGCGAAGGCAGCCAUCUGGACCGACACUGACGCUGAGGCGCGAAAGCGUGGGGAGCAAACAGG
rnacentral:rRNA from 1 species